UCUGUCUCUGGCCCCCGUGUUACAGUUAACGGUAGGAUCAAGGCGAGCCACCAGCGACACCAACAUGUCUUGUUUACUGAAACUGUUUGUGUUGGGGUCAAGUCUUGUCUACAUGGCCAGUGGUCACUAUGUAAAUACAACGAGGUCAAAACGGCAAGCUGGACCAAACUGUCUGUUUUGUGAUAGAGUAAACCUGCCCCAUGACUGUCACCAGAAACUACAGUGUGAGUCAGACGAGGCGUGUUUUACUGACCAGUACAUCACAGAACAGGGACACGUCUUCUAUAAAGUUGGAUGCAGAGCACAAUCACUCUGUGGUACUGGCGCCGUGAAAGGCCGAAGGUCAGCGGUCAGCGGUCGUGAUGUCGCCGUCCACGUGUGCGAGGACUGCUGUGUCGGGGAAUACUGUAACAGAAAGGGAUGCAGCGCGGGACCUCCCAAGGGAACAACGUGUUAUAACUGUGAUUCCAUCAAAGAACCAUCUCGAUGUGAGAAGGUGACAGCCUGUGAAGAAAAUCAGCAAUGCUACAUCGAUGAGGUUCUCACUGACCAAUACGAACUGCGCUUCAAUCUUGGAUGCGUAGAUACGUAUACCUGUGGAAAGAUCACCCAAGGACAAGGCAAGAGGGCAGAUUCCCUGAGCACGUUGUGUACGAGAUGCUGCGACACCGACUACUGCAACCUAGCGUGUGGACAGAAUGCCAACUAUCCUCCAACAAAGCCUACUGUUUCAGCAUCUACGACGAAAGCUAUUCCAACAACUACUACUGCAAAGGUGAUUACAACUACAACUUUAACGACCGUAGUUACAUCUACUCCGACAACAAUGACUACUACACCUAAUAUGAAAACUACCAUCACCGCGAAGACAAUGAGUACGACGUCGAAAUCAGUGCCCACACCGACAACUACUGCAUAUUCAUCAAGUACUUCUACGACCGCAACGUCAACAGUCACAGACACAUCUACUAUUACAACGCCAACUUCGACAGCCGCAUCAACAUCUACAGUUUCAGCUACGCCAAUGACCUCGACAGAGACGACAUCUUCCACCACUUUUCAACCCACCACUGAAUCUAGUGCCUCGCCAACAUCAGCUACAGUAGGCAUGCAGACAUCACCAACAUCAUCAAUGUCCUCUCCAUCAUCUUCAGACACGUCACCGUCCACACAGGUAUCCGCGACGACAUCGUUAUCUUCAGAUACCCCACCGUCAACUUAUGUAUCUAUAACAACAACAGCGUCAUCAGCUACCCCAACACCAUAUGUCGAUGCGUCGACGUCACCGUCUUCUGGCAAUCCGACAUCACCGUCUGUUUCCAUGACAACAGAUUCGUUUUCAGGCACACCGUCAUCUGCAUCCAUGACAACAGAUGCGUUUUCUGAUACUCCAAGUUCACCAUCUGUUGUCAUGUCAACAGAUUCACUAAGCACGCAACCGACACAAUAUGUCGAUUCAUCAACAUCAUUGUCUUCCAACAAUCCGCCGUCAUCGUCUGUUUCCAUGACAACAGAUGUGUUACCCGAUACCCCACCGUCGUCAUCCGCUGCCAUGACAACAGGUUUGUCAUCAAGCGUCCAGCCAGGAGUACAGGUCGAUUCAUCAACAUCCUCGAAUACAGACACACCGUCUUCAUCUUUUGUUUCCAUGACAACAGAUGUGUCUUCAGACACCCCAGCUUCACCAUCUGUUUCCCAGACGACAGAUUCCUCAUUAGGCACUCAACCAACACCUUAUGUCGAUUCAUCAACUUCCUCGAAUACAGACACUCCGCCGUCAUCUUUUGUUUCCAUGACAACAGAUGUAUCUUCAGAUACCCCAACUUCUGCUCCUGUUUUCGAGACGACAGAUUCCUCAUUGGGCACACAACCAACACCAACACCAACAACAUUGUCUUCCAACACUCCGCCGUCAUCGACUGUUUCCAUGGCGACGGAUGAAAUCACGGAAACCACUAUUGCCGACACAGCAGCAACCGACACCACCACCACCACCACCACCACCACCACCACAACAUCAACAACAACACGUGCUCCGGCUGUGUGUUAUGAGUGCCAGUUCGAGAGUGACAUGUCCCAGUGUAGACACUCACUUCGCUGUGAUGAACACCAUCCGUCGGGAAAAGAUUACACAUGCUUUUCGGGUAGAGUUCAAGAUAAUGGAUGCUACUUUACUGCUGCUUGUAUAGAACUGGAGGCAUGCUCGGUCCUGAGGAAUACUACAAAGAACGGAGACAGCAUCACCUUCGAGGGCAAUCAGUACGACGACGUUGAGUGCUGUGAUGGCGUAAACUGUAAUCACAGAGACCUUGUAAUAUCACCAGAGCUCCACGCACUGCACCACUGUGACGAACUGGUAAAUCCUUGACUUGGACUAUAGAUUGACGGAUUGGUAAAUCCUUGACUUGGACUAUAGAUUGACGGAUUGGUCAAUCCUUGACUUGGACUAUAUAUUGACGGAUUGGUCAAUCCUUGACUUGGACUAUAUGUACAUUGACGGAUUGGUCAAUCCUUGACUUGGACUAUUGAUUGACGGACUGGUCAAUCCUUGACUUGAACUAUAUGUAGGUUGACGGAUUGGUCAAUCCUUGACUUGGACUAUAGAUUGACGGAUUGGUCAAUCAUUGACUUGGACUAUAGAUUGACGGAUUGGUCAAUCAUUGACUUGGACUAUAGAUUGACGGAUUGGUCAAUCCUUGACUUGGACUAUAGAUUGACAGAUUGGUCAAUCCUUGACUUGAACUAUAUGUAGAUUGACGGAUUGGUCAAUCCUCGACUUGAACUAUAUGUAGGUUGACGGAUUGGUCAAUCCUUGACUUGGACUAUAGAUUGACGGAUUGGUCAAUCCUUGACUUGGACUAUAGAUUGACGGACUUGUCAAUCAUUGACUUGGACUAUAUAUAGAUUGACGGAUUGGUCAAUCCGUGACUUGGACUAUAGAUUCCUGUACAAGAAGCUUCAUUUUGGGUUGGCUCAUUACAUCAUUACCAUUGCUUUAUCAUUGGAAAUAAAACGUGAUUGUGACAUGA
rnacentral:misc_RNA from 1 species